rnacentral:rRNA from 1 species
UACGGAGGGUGCAAGCGUUAUUCGGAAUUACUGGGCGUAAAGCGCACGUAGGCGGCCUUGUAAGUCAGGGGUGAAAUCCCACGGCUCAACCGUGGAACUGCCCUUGAAACUGCGGGGCUUGAAUCCUGGAGAGGGUGGCGGAAUUCCUGGUGUAGGAGUGAAAUCCGUAGAUAUCAGGAGGAACACCGGUGGCGAAGGCGGCCACCUGGACAGGCAUUGACGCUGAGGUGCGAAAGUGUGGGGAGCAAACAGGAUUAGAAACCCCUUGUAGUCC